CUGAGUUUUUCUAUAAAUCUUAAUUUCAAACAUGGUUUUAUCAUGACUGUAGAUUUCUUAGUAGAAAAUUUAGUUUUACAACAAAUUUCACCAGAUUAAGUAUAAACUAAUUCCAUAACCUAACUUUCUUUGUUCGUUUAGCAUAUCUUCGCGAGUACAGUAAAAGAGUGAACCAAACUUCCAACUCCUCCGGCAAGAACACCAAGCUUUGAGAUUUUGAGAUUUCCUAGCCAUCGUCGCUACAGGUUCGGACCAGAAAGCCCUCCAGCAAGGAAGCGCCAGCAGAAACAGUAACCUGAUUCGUGAUCUUCCGCCGAUUCGCUGCCCCGAUCCCCGCGACCAAGAAAGGAUUCGCUGCUCCGGUUCCCGCGGCCAAGGAAGGAUUCGCUGCCUCGGUUCCCACGACCAAGGAAGGCCAGCGUUUGCGAUCGCUCGUGCACUACCCAACUUCUUCGAACGUCUCGGCUAGAUUCGGACCAAAAAGUCCUCCGACAAUGAAGCGCCAGCCGAAACAACAACCUGAUUCGGGAUCUUCCGGUGAUUCGCUGCCCCGGUUUCCGCGACCAAGAAAGGAUUCGCUGCUCCGGUUCCCGCGGCCAAGGAAGGAUUUGCUGCCUCAAGAUUGAAUAAAAAAGGUUCAUUGUUUUUGUUUA